AUACAAGAAAUCGUUCGUUAUACAUCCUCAAGCUAAAGCUGUACUAAUUUAGACAAAAUGCGAACACCAUCUACCACUAAAACUGUUAGUAUUUGAUGAACAAUACAACUACGAAAGAUCGACUUACACAAACCCCAUCUAGCUGGGCACAGCACAUCAAUGACGCAUUUUAAUAAUGGCAGAGUUUUACUUCGAACGUAGACAUGAUCUUUAGCUUUCUCACUGAGACCUGUUCUCAUUUGCAUAAGGUAGGCAUUAAGUUGAGACUUGCAGUCGUUAUUUCCCGGUUCAAGCAUCUCGCACCUUCCAUCCGAGACAUACCCAUAAGCCCAAAGGAUUAAGGUCGAAACAUAUAAGCACCAGGGUCUAUGAAGACCUGUUUCAUUCUGAACAUCAUAUUCCAUAUCACCUCCUAAAAAAGCUUCAACCAUAUCCACGGCGUGCUUAAUAGAUACUUCAGAAUCAUCAGAAGCUAACCAAGCAGAAACAUAGCGCGAUGUACUCGCAUAGAGUCUUCUAGAAGUGGAGACUAUUGAUUUUGCAUAGGUUUGUAAAGCAACUAUGUUAGUAUGCAGCGAAAUAUGAGCCAAUUCAUAUGUAGCCAAACAGCCUCGCACGUAAGGAUGAUUGAGUGGUAAAGUACCAUUAUUUAGAAAGAAUACACGGUAGGUACGAAGCCAAAACUUGUAAGAUGCUUUAAGUAAAAUCCUCCAGUUUUUCAAGUUGGUUCCAUUGUUUUGCAUGAUAUUUUCUACAAUACCUUUAAAACCAGUUAGUUAUUGAAAUCGUUAAAUUAGAAAUUGCAAUGCUCGUACCCAAAUUCUCUCUACUUAAUAUCCAACCAAUGGUAGUUAAUCCGUGCAACACAAUCAUCAUAUUCCAAGGACUUAAUUUAGGAGGAAGAUGCUCGUUUGUUAAGAACAUUUUCAAGACGGGAAAGAAAUGGGGUGGAUCGUUUUCAUUUAAGAGAGAUGUCCAUGCUUCAUAGCUAUCGGCGUUCCAGAGAGCUUCAUCACAUAAUAGAGGUAAGCCAACGCUAGUGAUAUCAAUUAACGGUCUAUAUCCAAAUAAAAUAACAUGCUGAGAGUCUAAUACAAAUGAAAAAAAUGCGAUUCUAAUAGUGUUAAUAACCAUCACUUAAAGUCACCAGAUAAAUUACCUUUUCGAGGCUUCUCGAUCAACCCACUGAUGCCAUUUGUGUUGUGCAAUAUUCGUUCCUGUCAUGUUUUUUGGAAUUUUCUCGGUGACGGUAUCUUUUGAAGACAGCCCAUUUUGCAUAGACUAGAAUUAGUUAGAGAAAGUAUUA